rnacentral:lncRNA from 1 species
GCUGCCUGGAACAGAAGAGCAGAGGAUCAGAGGCACCACCAGAGACUCUCAGAGUGGGUUAUUACCCUGGUGGGGGCGCCUGCUGCGGCGUAGGAGAUGGCGGGACUGGGGGCGCGGGUGUGAAGCCCCCAAGAAAUCUGUGUGAAUUUCCUGGGGAGGUAAGGUCUCCAGGCGCUCUCUCUGGGCCCGGGGAUUGGUCCGGGAAGGUCUCCUGGCGCCUACCCAGCCCCCACUGCCUGGACGCCUGCGCCUGCUCUGCCGCCCCACAGCGACCGCGAAGGCCAGCUUCUUCGAAAGGCCCAUUUUUCUCCGUGGCUGAGCGAAUGCUCCUAGAAUACCACGUUUAUAAUAAAUCAUGUAGGGUGGAAUUCCUGCUGGAUGUAUACACCUUUCUGCAUCAGAGCUCUUCAAACCCAGAAUGGUGAAUAGCUACCCCUGGGCUUACCCUUUUAUAAUUUUCAACAAACCUGCGUUUAGCCCCGGCUAGGUGCCAGCAAGUUGCUAGGGACUGAGGAGGCUCUGCAGAGGACCCGAGCUGAGGCCCUAAUCCUCAAGGCCAAUGGCAGGGGUCACCGCCCAGGCACCCCCAGAGAACGCGGUGUGAAGGAAAAGACACCAAACUCGGUGUUCAAAUGUGUGGGAUCUAUUCUAGUUCUGAUUCUGACACUUGCAAGUCAUGCAUCCUCCGAGCCUCGGCUUUCUCACCUAUAAAAUCUUCAACGUGACCUAUAAAAAUCCAUAAAAUCACCCCUGCUUCAUUGUUUCCCAGGGCUCAUAGAAACAUCAUACAAGGUAAGGGAAGGUAGAUGGACCAGGGUGCCCUCUAAGGAUCCCAAGGAAGGGCCUUAAAAGAUGAAGAGGAUGUUGACAGACAGUUACUGAGAAGGAAAAGAGGAGGGCAUCCUAUGCAGACAAAGAGGAGGGUUUCAAGGGAAGUCCUGACAUGUGUCUCCUUCCCUCGUCCCC